AGAUUCAAUGUUGAUUGAAUACUUUAAAGGAUUGCUGUUCUUUCCUGUGAUGCCGUGCUGAAGUAACUAUCCUAAGCAGCAGAGCUCUGCAGAGGUUGAUAGAGAUGGUGGUGUCUUUGGAUGAAAGACACGUCGGGUGGAGGAUUCAAGGAAGCAUAUCAAGCGUGCAGCUGAGAUUCUUUGCCACCAACUUUUCAAGAACCAGUUGGGGUUCCUUUUUUACCUUAGAGUUAACUUAUCGUCGUGCAUCAAAGGCAUGUUAGAGGU